UUGGGAUCAGACUCUUUAUGAAGUUAUUAAACGUUCUAUCUCCAGCUGAGUGGGGCCGUUUUCAUACAUGAACCAACCUGGCUUUGUGGUUUAAAUCGUUUAUGUGGAAAACAGACAUCAUUCAGUUUUUGCAGCUAAAUUUAGACAUGAACAACUUUAAAUAUCAGUAAAGAAAAAAGGCCUAAAGGGUUAAAACACUUUUGUAUAAUAAAAUGAUAAAAGGGGACACUAGGAGGCAGCAUAUCGCCACAGAUAUCUCGCACAUCUAAACUGCUCUUUCAAAUUGAAAUGGGACCUUUCAUUAAAUUUGACUGUUUGCAUUUUUUGUGCUGACAUGUGGGUCUCUACUGCCUUCUCAAACUUUAUAAAUGUGGGGAAAAAACAUCCAUUCAUUUUAUUGUCAGUGUUUGGCUUAGGAAUUAUAUGCUUAAAUAUAAAAGUUCCAAUUAGCAUUGACUUCCCCCCAGAUUUGACAUUUUUGUUUACUGAGAUAUGGAGCAAGGAUACACUGAAAGGGACUUCUCGGCUGGCCUGGGAACACCUUAGGAUUCCCCCAGGCCCAAGUGGCUGGGACAAGAUAAGUUUGGGCUUCUCUGCUUAGGCUGCAACACAAGUCAGGUCCCGGGGGCUAGAAGGCUAAGGCCUAGUCCACACGUAGCCGUUUAAAAAAAAACAACAAAUAUCCGCCCCUCCAAAAACUUGCAUCCACACCACCCCGUUUAAAAAUAAAACUCUGUCCACACGUACCCGAUAAAUACGUUGUUAAAGAGCGGGUCAAUUGAGCCUCGGAGUCCUCCACCCACGUAUCAAUUUUAAAAAAUGCAACAUUAGUAGGCGUUGCCUGGAGGACCGAGAGGGCGGAGCCGCGGCAGUGACGAAGACGAUGGCUAACUAGACGAAGCUAGCUCCCUUCACUCUGAGCAGUUGAUAGAAGUGGAGGACGUUUCUCCCCCUCCUUACAGACACUCGAGAAGAAAGGGACCAAGUCUAUUUGGAGGAGACAAGCGGACCUGAGUCUUAUUGUUUUGAGCUUGUGAGUUGCCUGAAACUCCCAGAACCGACCCAACAGAAUCACCUCUGAAAGGUCCUCUGGUGUCUGCAGCUGGUCUCUGGUGUCUGCAGCUGGUCUCCUCUGCUGGUGUCCUCAGGAUCAGGAACUUCCAGAAGAAUGUGCCUUUCAAUGACUCUUUCCCCCUUAUUUGUUAUAUUAAUUAAAUAAAUCUCAAUUUAUAUA